rnacentral:rRNA from 1 species
CAGUAGCCGGGUAAUACGUAGGUGGCAAGCGUUGUCCGGAAUUAUUGGGCGUAAAGGGCCCGCAGGCGGUUUCUUAAGUCUGAUGUGAAAGCCCCCGGCUCAACCGGGGAGGGUCAUUGGAAACUGGGAAACUUGAGUGCAGAAGAGGAGAGUGGAAUUCCACGUGUAGCGGUGAAAUGCGUAGAGAUGUGGAGGAACACCAGUGGCGAAGGCGACUCUCUGGUCUGUAACUGACGCUGAGGAGCGAAAGCGUGGGGAGCGAACAGGAUUAGAUACCCGUGUAGUCCCUGUCUCUUAUACA